AACGAACGCUGGCGGCAUGCCUAACACAUGCAAGUCGAACGAGACCUUCGGGUCUAGUGGCGCACGGGUGCGUAACGCGUGGGAACCUGCCCUUAGGUUCGGAAUAACUCCCCGAAAGGGGUGCUAAUACCGGAUAAUGUCUUCGGACCAAAGAUUUAUCGCCUUUGGAUGGGCCCGCGUUGGAUUAGCUAGUUGGUAGGGUAAAAGCCUACCAAGGCGACGAUCCAUAGCUGGUCUGAGAGGAUGAUCAGCCACACUGGGACUGAGACACGGCCCAGACUCCUACGGGAGGCAGCAGUGGGGAAUAUUGGACAAUGGGCGAAAGCCUGAUCCAGCAAUGCCGCGUGAGUGAGGAAGGCCUUAGGGUUGUAAAGCUCUUUUACCCGGGAUGAUAAUGACAGUACCGGGAGAAUAAGCUCCGGCUAACUCCGUG
rnacentral:rRNA from 1 species